GCUUUCUACAAACCUUUGAUCAAUCUUUCUUUUUCCCACUGGUCUCAUUUUUAAAGGCACUGAUUCUGUUCUGAGGACCAAUCAUAUGGAUAUGAAAAUUCAUGAAGAAACUUCAUCAGCAAACGUAUCAGUUGGAGACUGAAGUUCCCCACUCAUCUUGUCGCCACUCUCAUCUUUCAGGGGAGAAGAUAUACAUCAGAGACAUACUCCAGAAGGUGAAAGUGGUUAUCUAAUGUCAGGCACAAAAGCUACUGGAGCCACAGCAGAUGAAGAGAUAAAGAGGUGACAAAAUAUGAGGAAGGGUGUGUGGGGAGUUGCAGCAACUAAUCACUUCCUUACUGGGGAAUUGGUGGCUAUUCUAGAUACUAAGCAGGUUAUGAUCUUUGGAAUCUUCCAAUUCCUUCUGAGUUUUUGAGCUAUUGCUAACUCUCUGCUAUUUGAGUUUGUUCAAUGCUUCUAAUAAGUUAAAGAGCAGUCAGAUCUGGCUUUCUGCUUAUAUGCUAUUUUAUAGCCACUUUUUCCCCCAUAUAUUUCUUUUCUUAAGCUAAUGUUAAAAAUGAAUUUUUAUUUAAGAAAUUAGUAACUGAUGAGAGUGGAUAGGGAAGCAAACAUGAGAAUGGAAAAAAUAGCUCAGAUAUAUGACAGGUGCCAGGGAAAAGCCAGACUGACAUUGAAAAGAGGAUAUA
rnacentral:lncRNA from 1 species